GUCUUUCAAGUUUUUCCAACUCAAUCAGCAACAAAAUUUUAUUUGCCUUGAAAAUCAGCUCCAAAAUAAAAAUUUUCGAAACAAUAAAGCAGUUCAUAGUUUCAACUUCGAUUCAAGGUGAUUAUAAUAAAAAAUGUUCAGUUCAUUGAAUUGCUGGACUUUCAUUCCAAUUGAAUCUGGAACAAUAAUAGCAGCACCAUAACUUCUAUAAUUCUAAUUUAAUUGCAAAUUCCGGCAAGAAUACUGGAAUCUCCAACGGAAAUUGCUUUCAUUAUGACCUUAACCUUAUCAUGUUUAUGAAGCUUCUGAUGAAAUGGUUCAUUGAUGGAAAGCUUUUUAUUGUUUUCUUAAUGGUUCCUACAAAUUUGUUUCUCGUUAUGGCUAACGAUCAUAAAACGAUAUCCUAGACGCCAAUUUUUAAUACGAUGCCAUUAUACCUCUGCUUUCAACUGUGAGUGAGACGACCGACGAGGGUGAAGACUGAAGACAUUGAAACGGGAAGUCCACGUGAUUUAUGGCAUAAUGGCAGAGCAAAAAGCCCUUAAAAGCCUUCUACAGUGAAGUCACAAUACAAAAAGAAAAAAAAAAAAAGCAAAAGAAGAAUGCAUUUCUUGCAAUAAAUUUAAUCUUCAAGAGGUGGCUGGCCUCAAGUUGGAAAUUCAAUAAGGUUCCGCGAGACCAGUUUCCUGAUGGUGUUAGAGAGAAGAAGAAACGAAAAGAGUGAGUGUUGGCACUCGAGCAUCUGCUAAAUUUAAGAGGUAGGAGCUCCAGCACAUUUCAAGUUCCUCCCAAUGGUAUAGGAAUGUAAGUUGAGCUGGUUUCUAUAUGUGCUUGUGCCUCAGUACACUUUCUAUUCAAGUGGAUUUUGAUGAUGUAUCUGGGAAGUUCAAUUGAAGAAAAAGCUAUACAAAUGGACAAAAAAAACACACACAUAACGUCAACGAGAAGGUGAUGGAUAAAGCCAUGGAGUAAGCCAAGCACUUCGAUUUCAUGCUUAUUCAAUCGUAUGACAAAUAAUAGACGACCCCAACGCUAAGUCCCAGUUACAUUUUCCUUACAAUAGAAAAUAUAUCAGACCCUGUGCCUUCAAUAAGAGAAUGUUGUGCGUUAUCUUGUUAUAUUGAGAGCAGGUUCUUAAUGUUCAAAAAAAUUUAAAGGCCUUUUUUUCAAGAACAUAACUAUUGGGAAACUGUCGAUGCUUAUGUGGGAUUCCUGGAUAGGGAAUGGGUCAUUAAAAUCACAUACUGCUAGAGUUGCUUCCGUGAAGAUAAAAUAUUAUUCUGUAUUUAUACAAAUACAUAUUUCCAUAUACAUAUAUAAAAGAAAGUCGUGUCAGUUACACUAUUAAUAAGUGAAGAACGGCCGGACCGAUUUGGCAGAAAAUUUGUGAGGAGGAAGCUUAGAGCUAGGAUACUUUGUAUAUCGUUUCCGGCGUGGGCCGCGACAUAAACCGUGGUAUAACAGAAAACAGCUGACAAGCUGACAUGGAAUAACAAUUUUUUUCUCUCAUAUUCAUAUAGUUCCAAGGAAGGUUUUAUGAAGAAAAAACAUGGUAAAAUUUACA